GAAAUGCGAUAACUAAUGUGAAUUGCAGAAUUCAGUGAAUCAUCGAGUCUUUGAACGCACAUUGCGCCCCCUGGUAUUCCGGGGGGCAUGCCUGUCCGAGCGUCAUUGCUGCCCUCAAGCCCGGCUUGUGUGUUGGGUCCUCGUCCCCCGGCUCCGGGGGACGGGCCCGAAAGGCAGCGGCGGCACCGCGUCCGGUCCUCGAGCGUAUGGGGCUUUGUCUUCCGCUCUGCAGGCCCGGCCGGCGCCCGCCGGCGCAAUUUUUUGCAACCUUUUAUUUUUCCAGGUUGACCUCGGAUCAGGUAGGGAUACCCGCUGAACUUAAGC
rnacentral:misc_RNA from 1 species